UACGUAGGGUCCGAGCGUUGUCCGGAAUUAUUGGGCGUAAAGAGCUCGUAGGCGGUUUGUCGCGUCUGCUGUGAAAUCCCGAGGCUCAACCUCGGGUCUGCAGUGGGUACGGGCAGACUGGAGUGCGGUAGGGGAGAAUGGAAUUCCUGGUGUAGCGGUGGAAUGCGCAGAUAUCAGGAGGAACACCGAUGGCGAAGGCAGUUCUCUGGGCCGUAACUGACGCUGGAGGAGCGAAAGGCGUGGGGAGCGAACAGG
rnacentral:rRNA from 1 species